GAGAACUCAGAGUUUGUGAAAUUUUAAAAAUUUCUUCUAGAUGCAGGGGACACACGCUCGUGUUGCCAAGCCGUGUCCCAGCCCGUGUCCUUACUCGUGUAACUCUCUAAAAUAUAUCACACAGCCAAUCACAUGCCCGUGUGCUAGGCCGUAUGGACAAUUUAAUUUUCAAAAAUUAGGUGCAGGGGACACACGGCCAAACUACAUGCCCGUGCACAUGGCCAUGUGUCACACACGGCUGAGACACACGCCCGUGUGUCUACCCAUGUGGAUGAAAAUAGAUCAUUUUCAAG
rnacentral:lncRNA from 1 species